rnacentral:misc_RNA from 1 species
GAUGAAGAACGUAGCGAAAUGCGAUACGUAAUGUGAAUUGCAGAAUUCAGUGAAUCAUCGAGUCUUUGAACGCACAUUGCGCCCCCUGGUAUUCCGGGGGGCAUGCCUGUCCGAGCGUCAUUGCUGCCCUCAAGCACGGCUUGUGUGUUGGGCCUCCGUCCUCCUCCCGGGGGACGGGCCCGAAAGGCAGCGGCGGCACCGCGUCCGGUCCUCGAGCGUAUGGGGCUUCGUCACCCGCUCUUGUAGGCCCGGCCGGCGCUUGCCGACACAUUAAUCUUUUUUCCAGGUUGACCUCGGAUCAGGUAGGGAUACCCGCUGAACUUAAGCAUAUCAAUAAGCGGAGGA